rnacentral:rRNA from 1 species
CACGGGGGGAGCAAGCGUUGUUCGGAAUCACUGGGCGUAAAGGGCGUGUAGGCGGUCAGGUAAGUGGGAUGUGAAAUGCCCCGGCUCACCCGGGGACCGGCAUCCCAUACUGCUUGGCUUGAGUACGGGAGAGGAUGUGGGAAUUCCUGGUGUAGCGGUGAAAUGCGUAGAUAUCAGGAGGAACACCGGUGGCGAAGGCGCACAUCUGGCCCGAUACUGACGCUGAGGCGCGAAAGCUAGGGGAGCGAACAGG